ensembl:snRNA U6 U6 spliceosomal RNA
UAGAUUAGCAUGACCCCUGCAAAAGGAUGACGCGCAAAUCCGUGAGGCGCUCCAUAUUUUU